UACGUAGGGUGCAAGCGUUAAUCGGAAUUACUGGGCGUAAAGCGUGCGCAGGCGGGCUUGCAAGACAGAUGGGAAAUCCCCGGGCUCAACCUGGGAACUGCAUUUGUGACUGCAAGGCUGGAGUGCGGCAGAGGGGGAUGGAAUUCCGCGUGUAGCAGUGAAAUGCGUAGAGAUCGGGAAGAACACCCGUGGCGAAGGCGGUGUGCUGGGUUGCAACUGACGCUGAGAUGCGAAAGUGUGGGUAGCAAACGGG
rnacentral:rRNA from 1 species